GAGAGCCGGAUGCGGGAAAACCGCCCGUCCGGUUCGAUGAGCGGGGAGUGGAAACGGGGCGUUCAGCUACCGCGCCACUCCUCGACUCUAC
rnacentral:ncRNA from 1 species